GAAGGGGGAAGAGGAAGAGUGAGUAAUAUGCUCCCGUCUUGUAGGAAAAAGUGAGCUGGUGUCACGGGCCGCUGUGCGGGGACAAGAGAACAGGAUGCUGGCUUGAACUUGAAUAUGAGCCUUUGAUGAGCUCUUCUGCUGUCAGCCCCCAGUCUUGUUCUGACUGAAGAUAUUGAGCUUUUCCAUCGUCUCUUUCCACAGAAGUAGUCGAUUUGAUUCCUGUGUAUUCCAUAAGGAGGGCUCAGACAGAUGCAGUUGCUUGACCACAGCUACACAGCUGGCUCAAGGAAGGAUACCCCUUUGAGUUUGGGUGGGACCAUGUGAUAAAUCUGGCCAAUGAUUAUCACGGAAGUGCCAUGGUCACUUCCAGACUGGAGCAUUUAAGUGCCCAUGCAAGACUCUCUAAAGCUCUUUUGCCUCUGGCCUGGUGACCGAGAUGUUCAAGAAGGUGGCUGUUCCAGUUUUCUUUGCUCCCCCCACCAGAUGGUAGAUAACGGUGACUCUUCUCUGCAUUAAUCCUGGCAUUUAAAAAAGACUCUCAGAGAAGUUUUCUGGAGUGAAUGAAUGAAUGUGAGGCUCUCCCAGCUACAGAAAGCUGCACAAAAGGUGGAGCAGUUGUGUCAUCUGGCUUUUGUCUUCUGUGUUUCCACACUCUCCUUCCCUGAGAGUUAUCAGGAACCCAGGGGGUGAGCCCCUGUCCCAGAAUCCUCUUUGGUUCUUCCCUGAGUGCUUGGUGCUCCAUGCAGAAGGUCUCUCCAGGUCCCUGCUGCCUCAGCAAUCUUGGCCCUAGCAGCAAGGCUGGGCUAAGGGUGGAGCCAGGAGGCAGAAGGAAUGUGCACCACUCUGGGCCAGUUGCCAAGGAGACACUAGGAAAGAGGUGGUUACUAUGGCAACUGGGGCAUCCUGAGAAGUGAAGAGAGGUGAUGGGUCCAGGCACCUGAGGCUGGGGUGGGGUCUGCUGGAGGUUUGGGGAUUUGGUCUCUGACCCCAGGGCCAAUCCUGAGUCCCCCUCUCUUCUCUCUGCACCUCCCAUUUGUGCCCCUGCAGGCUGGUUUCUGGCCAAGCUGAAGGUUCCUCUCAUGGAUAGGGACCCAAGCCCACCUAUGCUCACACAUCCCUUUUCAGCUUGUCCCUCCAACCCCCCAUUCUCCCUCCUGCUUCCUGGAGGGACCAAGAGGCCUCCAGCUCCUCCCCCUACCCCCACCUAACAAUUCAUUAAUUAGUUUCCUUAAGUGACUUGCAAAGCACAACAUGCUUGCCCCUUUCCCUGAUUUCCCAAGACCUGCUGUGACUGGGUAAAAGUGAGAGGGGGCGCUGAGGCGUCUGUCAUUCCACCUCUGCCCAUCUGCUGCCAUCGAUCCUGCUAACCACCACCUCUGUGAGAAGAAGCCCUGGGCUCCUGCCAGGCCUGCUGGCUCAGCCCUGCCCCCUCUCCCCAGGGGUGGCUUCCAGCCUCUGCAGCCCCCCCACCCCCCGCCCUGCUUCGGAUUCUGCAGAUCCGGCUCAGUGCAGCAGCCCCCGCCUGCCGGGAAAGGGGGCAGGGAAGGAGAGAUCGUGUGGAACUGGGGUUCCCUUCACUUCCAGGGGCCCCUUAGCUCCCCUGGCUCUGCCUCAGUGCUAGACACCUUUCCCAUGCCUACCUGCCCCAUUAAAGCACUCUUUCCUUGUUCCUUUGCAGAAAUGGGUUCACGAAAGGAGGCUGUUAGGGGCUACCAGUG